UACGUAGGGUGCGAGCGUUGCCCGGAUUUAUUGGGCGUAAAGGGCGCGUAGGCGGCCACGUGCGUCCGUUGUGAAAUCGCCCGGCUCAACUGGGCGGGGUCAGCGGAUACGGCGUGGCUGGAGCAAGCUAGGGGGCAAUGGAAUUCCCGGUGUAGUGGUGGAAUGCGUAGAUAUCGGGAGGAACACCAGUGGCGAAGGCGGUUGCCUGGAGCUUUGCUGACGCUGAUGCGCGAAAGCGUGGGGAGCGAUCCGG
rnacentral:rRNA from 1 species